GUCUUGUAGGUCCGACGGUACAGGGUGAUAGUCCCGUACACCAAAAUGCACAAGCUGUGAACUCGAAGAGUAGGGCGGGACACGUGGUAUCCUGUCUGAAUAUGGGGGGACCAUCCUCCAAGGCUAAAUACUCCUGACUGACCGAUAGUGAACCAGUACCGUGAGGGAAAGGCGAAAAGAACCCCGGCGAGGGGAGUGAAAAAGAACCUGAAACCGUGUACGUACAAGCAGUGGGAGCACCUUCGGGUGUGACUGCGUACCUUUUGUAUAAUGGGUCAGCGACUUAUAUUCUGUAGCA
rnacentral:rRNA from 1 species